ACGUAGGGCGCGAGCGUUGUCCGGAUUUAUUGGGCGUAAAGAGCUCGUAGGCCGUUCGGUAAGUCAGAUGUGAAAACUCCAGGCUCAACUUGGAGACGCCAUCUGAUACUGCCGUGACUAGAGUCCGGUAGGGGAGCACGGAAUUCCUGGUGUAGCGGUGAAAUGCGCAGAUAUCAGGAGGAACACCAGCGGCGAAGGCGGUGCUCUGGGCCGGUACUGACGCUGAGGAGCGAAAGCGUGGGGAGCAAACAGG
rnacentral:rRNA from 1 species